GUAUUAUUGUAUUUUAUUGAGUUUUAUUAGACCGCCAGACCGCUUACCUUGCGUUUGAUAUUUAAUGUAGUGACAGCCCUAGAUACGCAGGAGGACACAAACACUGACAUCUAUCUCUUUGUACAGUACAAAAUAACUACCUACAACUUCAUGAAACACUUCCAGCUUAGAGCAAUAAGAACGUAUGCGAAUACUCACUUGGAGCUGCUGGCGGACUUGCAGUUCUCGCACUCGCUGCGGUAGUCGUCGGCGUCCUCGCCCCCGGGAGCGGCCGGGGCUUCGUAGCUGCACACGCACGACGGCUGCAAAUUAUAUUUGAAUGGUACACGCCCGCCAUACUGUUUGUUAUAGGCCAGAUUGAUUCGCUAAUGAUAAACGAAUAUUCACGAAUACGAAAUGGCUAUUAACAUGUCGAACGCCAUGCGGCCUACUGGUGGUCCUAGUGUACCAUAUAUACAAUUUUAGGGCAAACCAAAAUCAGGGAAUCAGUAAUUUUUAUCAAUUUGAGAUUUUUAUUCUAAAAUUUAUAAAAUGCGACAUUUGCACGGAAGAUAAAAAUUAGCUACUUUACCGUCUAGUUUUUAAGAUAUUUUAAAAGGGUUUUUUUUAAAGAAUAUUGUAAAAAUCUUGAUAAAAACUACAUAUGUACAACGUUCUAUUUGAUUUGAAAACUGAAAUAUACAAUAAUUAUUUUUAA